GACACACUAUCAUUAACUGAAUCCAUAGGUUAAUGAGGCGAACCGGGGGAACUGAAACAUCUAAGUACCCCGAGGAAAAGAAAUCAACCGAGAUUCCCCCAGUAGCGGCGAGCGAACGGGGAGCAGCCCAGAGCCUGAAUCAGUAUGUGUGUUAGUGGAAGCGUCUGGAAAGGCGCGCGAUACAGGGUGACAGCCCCGUACACAAAAAUGCACAUGCUGUGAGCUCGAUGAGUAGGGCGGGACACGUGGUAUCCUGUCUGAAUAUGGGGGGACCAUCCUCCAAGGCUAAAUACUCCUGACUGACCGAUAGUGAACCAGUACCGUGAGGGAAAGGCGAAAAGAACCCCGGCGAGGGGAGUGAAAAAGAACCUGAAACCGUGUACGUACAAGCAGUGGGAGCACGCUUAGGCGUGUGACUGCGUACCUUUUGUAUAAUGGGUCAGCGACUUAUAUUCUGUAGCAAGGUUAACCGAAUAGGGGAGCCGAAGGGAAACCGAGUCUUAACUGGGCGUUAAGUUGCAGGGUAUAGACCCGAAACCCGGUGAUCUAGCCAUGGGCAGGUUGAAGGUUGGGUAACACUAACUGGAGGACCGAACCGACUAAUGUUGAAAAAUUAGCGGAUGACUUGUGGCUGGGGGUGAAAGGCCAAUCAAACCGGGAGAUAGCUGGUUCUCCCCGAAAGCUAUUUAGGUAGCGCCUCGUGAAUUCAUCUCCGGGGGUAGAGCACUGUUUCGGCAAGGGGGUCAUCCCGACUUACCAACCCGAUGCAAACUGCGAAUACCGGAGAAUGUUAUCACGGGAGACACACGGCGGGUGCUAACGUCCGUCGUGAAGAGGGAAACAACCCAGACCGCCAGCUAAGGUCCCAAAGUCAUGGUUAAGUGGGAAACGAUGUGGGAAGGCCCAGACAGCCAGGAUGUUGGCUUAGAAGCAGCCAUCAUUUAAAGAAAGCGUAAUAGCUCACUGGUCGAGUCGGCCUGCGCGGAAGAUGUAACGGGGCUAAACCAUGCACCGAAGCUGCGGCAGCGACGCUGAUGCGUUGUUGGGUAGGGGAGCGUUCUGUAAGCCUGCGAAGGUGUGCUGUGAGGCAUGCUGGAGGUAUCAGAAGUGCGAAUGCUGACAUAAGUAACGAUAAAGCGGGUGAAAAGCCCGCUCGCCGGAAGACCAAGGGUUCCUGUCCAACGUUAAUCGGGGCAGGGUGAGUCGACCCCUAAGGCGAGGCCGAAAGGCGUAGUCGAUGGGAAACAGGUUAAUAUUCCUGUACUUGGUGUUACUGCGAAGGGGGGACGGAGAAGGCUAUGUUGGCCGGGCGACGGUUGUCCCGGUUUAAGCGUGUAGGCUGGUUUUCCAGGCAAAUCCGGAAAAUCAAGGCUGAGGCGUGAUGACGAGGCACUGCGGUGCUGAAGCAACAAAUGCCCUGCUUCCAGGAAAAGCCUCUAAGCAUCAGGUAACAUCAAAUCGUACCCCAAACCGACACAGGUGGUCAGGUAGAGAAUACCAAGGCGCUUGAGAGAACUC
rnacentral:rRNA from 1 species